rnacentral:lncRNA from 1 species
AAAUUUUAUUUUGGCCAGGAGCUGAAGUUGGUUGUUUAGUAGUAGUAGUUUGAGUAGUGACCGAAGUAGUAGUCUGGUGUGUGGGUGCAAGAGUAGUUGGGGAAGAAUUAGGUGUGGUAAUUGGGGCAGCUGUGGUCUCUUGUGGAGCUGGGGAAGACGGUGGAGCUGGUGUAGUUGCAGAAGGUGUGGGUGGGACAGCUGUGGUCUCUGGUGGAGCUGAGGAAGAUAGUGGAGCUGGUGUAGUUGCAGAAGGUGUGGGUGGGGCAGCUGUGGUGUCUUGUGGAGCUGGGGAAUUCACUGGUGCUAAUGUAGCUACAGAAGAGCUUGUGUUAACAUUUUCUCUUGAAGAUAUGGUGGUGGCAUUCUGGGGAAGAAAAGUCACAUUUGGAAGGGUAGUAAUUUUGGUGGAAGCUUAGGCCUACAGCGUUUGUGCAGACAUUUAUAGGACUUUCUAAUGAACGGCUUCUGGUGAGCUAGCA